rnacentral:rRNA from 1 species
GGCGGCGUGCCUAACACAUGCAAGUCGAAGCGAUUCUCUUCGGAGAAGAGCGGCGGACGGGUGAGUAACGCGUGGGUAACCUGCCUCAUACACAUGGAUAACAUACCGAAAGGUAUGCUAAUACAGGAUAACAUAAGAGAUUCACAUGGAUUUCUUAUCAAAGCUCCGGCGGUAUGAGAUGGACCCGCGUCUGAUUAGCUAGUUGGUAAGGUAACGGCUUACCAAGGCGACGAUCAGUAGCCGACCUGAGAGGGUGAUCGGCCACAUUGGAACUGAGACACGGUCCAAACUCCUACGGGAGGCAGCAGGUGGGAAUAUUGCACAAUGGGCGAAAGCCUGAUGCCAGCAACGCCGCGUGAGUGAUGAAGGCCUUCGGGUCGUAAAACUCUGUCCUCAAGGAAGAUAAUGACGGUACUUGAGGAGGAAGCCCCGGCUAACUACGUGCCAGCCGCUGC